UGGGGGAUAUUGCACAAUGGGCGCAAGCCUGAUGCAGCGACGCCGCGUGGGGGAUGAAGGCCUUCGGGUUGUAAACUUCUUUUGCUCUGGACAAGGCGCACUUUGGGGUGUGUUGAGUGUAGGGGUUGAUUAGCGCCGGCUAACUACGUGCCAGCAGCCGCGGUAAUACGUAGGGCGCGAGCGUUGUCUGGAAUUAUUGGGCGAAAAGGGCUUGUAGGUGGCUGGUUGCGUCUGUCGUGAAAGCUCAUGGCUUAACUGUGGGUUUGCGGUGGGUACGGGCUGGCUUGAGUGCAGUAGGGGAGGCUGGAAUUCCUGGUGUAGCGGUGGAAUGCGCAGAUAUCAGGAGGAAUACCGGUGGCGAAGGCGGGUCUCUGGGCUGUUACUGACACUGAGGAGCGAAAGCAUGGGGAGCGAACAGG
rnacentral:rRNA from 1 species